AUGGGGUAUUAAAGAGGGGGUAUUUACUUCUAUGGGGUAUUAAAGAGGAGGUAUUUACUUCUAUGGGGUAUUAAAGAGGGGGUAUUUUACUUCUAUGGGGUAUUAAAGAGGGGGUAUUUACUUCUAUGGGGUAUUAAAGAGGAGGUAUUUACUUCUAUGGGGUAUUAAAGAGGGGGUAUUUACUUCUAUGGGGUAUUAAAGAGGAGGUAUUUACUUCUAUGGGGUAUUAAAGAGGGGGUAUUUACUUCUAUGGGGUAUUAAAGAGGGGGUAUUUACUUCUAUGGGGUAUUAACUGUAACACAUAACAGAU
ensembl:lncRNA